AAGGCCUUCAGUGGCAGGGAAGGCGGGGUCUCCUCUGACUGUGAGCACCCACCCACCACCAGACAGGGCCUGCUUCAGGACUGGAAGGGUCCACGUCCACUGAUGGUUCUGCGCGGAGAAGGAAAGGGGAGUCAACCCCUCUGGGGCCUCUUCCAGCUCCAAGAUUCUGGAACGUGUCCCAGGUUGUCACAACAAAGGAUUCACAAAGGCUGUGCUGAAGCAUGCCCGGGGUACACCAGGAGCGCUUCGAGGAGGGGCAGAGCAACCAUCACUGCCCAUGUCAGGAGGGAAGAAGGCCACCUCUACUGAGCCCCUGGAAGGAUGGAGCCCCUGGAAGGAUAAGCGUCGUGGAAGGAUGGAGAGCCAUGACGUGGGCUGGGGGGCUGCUCCGGACAAUAAGGAGGAGGGGGUGCUCAGCCUGGAGCACAUCAAACCCUUGAUGCCACCAGCCGCCCCGGCGCACCGUCCAGGAGGGUCGGUAGCCUUGCUGAACCAAGACACCAUGCACCAAGAGGAACCUCAGGUGCAGUGCGGGAACAUGAGACAUCUCCUUCCUAUAGUGAGGAUGUCUGUGCAUCUGCGGCUGAUAGGGAAACAAGUGGGGAUGCUUUCCCCAAACUGCACGAUGGUCCCUUGGCUAAGAAGAACCCCAGACAGACCACAGAGGCAGCCAGGACACAGGCGGGGGCUUCCAGGCGAGCCUCCCAGACGAGCCUCCCAGAUGAGCCUCCCGAGUAAGCAGGAGCCAUAAGACGUACCCGCGCACAAGUGAUCCAACGAGAGGACAUCUGUCCGCGAACAAGCAGGAGUUAUCAGCAGGUGACAGCUGGAGCCGGUUUUACAGACAUCUCAUUAUAAAGGAAAACAUGGAUCCUGUUCAUCCUAUAAAGGAUCGCAUUCUUAUGCAUUGGUUAUAUAAAUUUAUAUAGUAAUACUAUUUAAUCUUUCAUGUCUGGGGGUGCCCAGGUGGCUCAGUGGGUGAUGCACCAGGUCAUGAUCUCAGGGUCCUGGGGUCGAGCCCCACAUUGGGCUCCCAGCUCAGCGCAGAGUUGGCUUCUCCCUCUCCCCCUCACCCUGUUCAUGCUUUCUCUCUCUCUCUCUGCCAAAUAAAUAAAUAAAAUAUUUUUCA
rnacentral:lncRNA from 12 species